rnacentral:tRNA from 1 species
GGGGCGGAUGUAGCCAAGUGGAUUAAGGCAGUGGAUUGUGAAUUC